UAUGGCUUAUGGGUGUAUGGUGUCCAGCGCCAGGGACAAGUUUGUUUACCUGUGUGUGGAUGGCGUUCAGCACCAAGGACAGACGUAUUUGCGU
rfam:Branchiostoma floridae genomic scaffold BRAFLscaffold_177, whole genome shotgun sequence.